AGAAAAAAAAAAGAGACGACAAUGGCUGCAGGCGUGCUCACCUCGCUACAGAAGGUCUUUGUUGUCGCAAGUGUCGGUCUGACCCUGUACGGUGGAUGGGUGGUAGGCUCGGUGGCCUCACACAUGUACAGAACCAGGGAUGAGCGGAGAGAGAAGGCCCUAGCUGCAGCACAGGCUGUCCAGGGGCCGGUCACACAGACACCAACAGACGGACAGACACAACAGUGACACAAGAGGCAAAAAUGCGUGGCAGAACCUAGUGUGGAAGGCUUACCACUUGGAAGGACUGGAAAAGAUGUGAUGUCUGUUGCAAAAAUAGUGACCAUUGUCAAGGGAAUUCUGUAUAUACAUGUACGGUUGUGUAGAGACUCAGAAACAAGUGAUUAGAACAUGUUAAAUCUAAUGUUGCUGAUACCCUUACUAGUAACCAUCGUAAACUUUUGCAAAAUGAAAAAAAAAGGCUUUUUGUGUAAUGCAUUGCUUCUUAAUUAUGUCAGUAUCAUGUACCCAAAAGGAAAUACAUAUAUCAUUUAAUCUUUAUUUCAACUUUUACAAAUAAAAUACACAUACCAUCA